GCCCAGACUGCUGCCAUCUUACCCGGACCUUCUUCUGGACCCAUCUGGCCAGCAACACCCUCUCCUGUUGGACAGCUCGUUGCUGCUGCUCGCGUGGAAGAUUUCCGGGGUCUCUUGGAAAUCUAAGGAAUUUUGAAUGCAACUCAAUGCCUCCUGUCUGACGUUUGGGCUCCCGGGACUAGAAAAUCAUAUGGGACCGCUUGGAGAGCUU